UGAAAGUAAUUAUAAUGAGACUUCCAGUAUUUUAGCUUAAUCCUCAUGAAGUAAACGUCUUUUUUAUGUACAAAAUCAUUUAAUUAAAUUAUAAAAUGAUAUUUUAUUUUAUACUCCUCACUAGUAUGAUUAUACACGCCAAUGCAUUUGGUUUUCCAUUUGAUGAUGAUGACUCAUUCUCUACAGAAGAAG